AAGACUAUACUUCCAAGGAACGAGUCUGUAAUUUGUGACUUGAGAAAUGUAUUUCAAAAGUGGUUGGUCUUGCUAACCAUGAAGAAAAGAAGUGAUAUUUAUUCCUGAGCAUGAAACUGACAUUGAACAUUGAUUUUGAUCAUACUAGGUUCUUGGCCAUUGGUGAAUGUUCGCAGGUUUGUUUUGGAGCAGCCAUUGAAGGAAUAUGAUCAGAGUGGA